rnacentral:rRNA from 1 species
UACGUAAGGGGCUAGCGUUGUCCGGAAUCAUUGGGCGUAAAGCGCGUGUAGGCGGUUCGGUAAGUCCGCUGUGAAAGUCGGGGGCUCAACCCUCGGAUGCCGGUGGAUACUGUCGGACUAGAGUACGGAAGAGGCGAGUGGAAUUCCUGGUGUAGCGGUGAAAUGCGCAGAUAUCAGGAGGAACACCGAUUGCGAAGGCAGCUCGCUGGGACGUUACUGACGCUGAGACGCGAAAGCGUGGGGAGCAAACAGG